AGCCAUCUUGUGUACGGCAAAGGAAGAGCCGCCGUUAGCUUGAGAUUUCUACACACAGCCGAUAGACCAACGAACAGUCAGUAUACCACGAACAGACCAUCUCAAAGUGUGAAACGGCUAGCGAACAUGUAUUUUUAUGUCUCAAGAUGUCUCUCCGGCGCGUUUUAAGGAGGAUUUGUGUUUUCGAAGACAAGGGAGUGUUUAAAACUGAAGGCGCCUCCUCAGGCUCGAGUGACUGGAGUUUCAUUCGCGACAGCGGCCUGAGGGAAACUCUCACACCGGGACAUGGCCUUCGUGUAGGCCACGGAAAUUAAGAAUACGGUAUCGGAGAGGUUAAACACAGCCGAAGAAAAGCUGUCGUCGUGUUUUAAAGGACUAAAAUGCAGCCAUGAGGACGCGCGCGCACUGACAGCUCUGAGGGAGUCGGAAGUUAGCGCUACGCUAACGGAAUAUUUUAUGAUAUAAUUUCAUAUAACUUCUGUUAGUGCACUUGAAGCUUGACGCUUCCACCUAAUCCGUUAAAGUCGGAGUUACACACUCAAAGGGGCCACAAUGUCAAAAAUGCUGUCGAAAAAGAAGAGCUGCUUUCAGAUCACGAGCGUAACGCAGGCGCAGGUGGCGACCAACAGCAUCACCGACGACACCGAGAGCUUGGAUGACCCGGAGUCGAGAACCGAAGACAUGUCCUCCUCGGAGAUAUAUGACAUAUCUAAAAGCGGAGAUUUUGAGGCGGAAACAUGCGACGUCAGUUUAUAUGACGAGACGCUACAUUACGACUCUGAAACAUCUGGCGCGAGUGUUUCGCUCGUGCAAGACGGUCUCACAACACCUUGUUCUCGUCACACAGGUGCCAUUCAUAUGAUCCCAAAUGUCCGUGGGGCUCUAGGGCACAUGAGCACUGCUGCCGGGUCUUCCCAGCACUCACCUUCAGUUACGGCUAGUGUUGCACAGGCAUCCACGUCAGUUAGCAGUUCUGCUACAGUUAGUAGUUGCAGUUCUCGUUUCAGGGUCAUCAAAUUAGACCAUAGUACUGAGCCCUUUAAAAGAGGUAGAUGGACUUGCAGUGAGUUUUACGAAAAAGAAACAGAUGUUUCUUCAUCCAGUCGGACUGUGGAUAAUGUUAAACAUGCUGGCACUUUGGACCACAAUGAUGGACAUGGAAACGCGGCGGGUUUGGUGGCUUCACCUGUUGUGCUUUCAGUACCUGCCGCUGAACCUCAUCCUGACAGCGGUUAUGCAUCUAAUCCUUCUGUAGACCUUCAGCAUCAAAGUUAUGGGAUUUCGCAGCAGGGAAUAGGCCUCGCAACCCAAAGUUUUUAUCCGGUGGGGACCGGUGGUGCGCAUAUUCAUCAUGUCAAAUCUCCCAGCAUGCCUUCUACAACUCAACCACAGCCGAUAUACCAAGGUAAACAGGCAAAUAAUCCCAGUAACAUCCUUGCAUCAAAUCAACCUGACUUCAGAUCCCAGCAUCCCUUGGAUGGCUCCUCAUUGACCUCCCCUCCGCUCGGGGUACCAUUGAAUCGGGGCGUCUCACCUGUCAUGACACCUGCACUGGGAGGCUCUCAUUUACUGGGAUUAGUUUCUCAGUCUGUGGACACGAUGGGGCAUGGAAGGGGUCCAGAGCACAUUCAGGGGGUUUUACAACAGCCCGGCAUUGGCUCGGCUCUAGGGACUGUGUCAGUCCCAUCUGUCGUUCCGCAAGCUUCAGUGCCACUCAUCCAGCCAGCGGUGGCUGUGUCUGUCACCCCCCAUACUGUUGUCCCUGGUGUACAAAAUGUGCCUGUUGUUAUGUCCAGUGCCUCUAAUACCGCUCCAAGCAUGCCAAACCAGACUCCGGUCCCGGCUGCGCAGUCCCAACAGAACCAGCUCCAGGGAAUCCCCAGCGGUUUAGUGGUGGGACUGGGCAGCCCGUUCAGCUUCAGCCGGAUUCCAACAGGCAUCACGCAGGCUGAAGAUAACCAGAGGAUGUCUGAAGCGCUACCUCGGAGCUCUUUCAUCAUAGGAAAAGAUGGCACAAAGACCCUGGAUGCCCAUGGCUUGCAGCUUUCCACACCUGCUGUCAACAGUCUGUUCGGAAUAUCUAUUCCCAUAGAUGGGGAUGAAGACAGGAACCCUUCCACAGCUUUCUAUCAAGCCUUCCCCAACUGCAGAUCAAAGGUCAUCAGUAAUGGGUAUGAUGUCUGUGUGCAUAAUAUUUUGCACUGUUGGUGGUCAUGAUUCUGCAUGCACUGCUGCAGUGAGCAUGACAUUUCCAGAAGCGGCUUUUAUGAUCACGUCACUGAUAUCUGUAACAAAUGCAACUUUUGAUGUUUAUUGGCACGAUUGUUGUUUGUUUGACUGACAGUAUUGACAGUAAACCCUAACAGACUCUGGAUCCAACCGUUUAAUGUACUGUAAACACAAUUAUGUUUUGUACUUUUGUUAAUUGUCCAGUAGACAUGUGUUGGUAUAUGGCAAUGAUAAGUAACAAUGUUGACGUUAUCUCCCCUUAGAAAUACAGUGAAAAAUUCUAUAUAACCCAUGACACGCAGUGGAACACACAGUCAUCAGUCGAGAUUUGCAACGCUAACUAAGUGAAGUACAUGAUACACACGUACCUCAGCCUGCCCUGGCUGACUGCAUGCCAGCGUUAGAUGUGCACCACUAGAUGUAAGUAAUUUAUGAAUGAAUAAGAGAAGGGCCCCGUUUAUUAUGCAAGACAUGUCUAAUAAGGCUAUGGAAAAUACAUUAGUCUCUCCAUAAACAUGACACUACACAAUCAAAAAAUACAUUCAUGGACAAUUUGCAUUAUAUUAAUUACAGUUUUCUAAUUUCUGAUAUUAAUAUGAUCAGAAUUUUUUGUAAGGCGUGUUAUGUGUUGUACAGAAGCGCUUUGUUUUGUGUUGCUCAGUACUAAAUGUGAUCAUUUACAUCACGUACCAGCUUGAUGGUUAGAGGCAGGAAUUGACAUUUGAUUAUGAUUGAAAAUUCGGUAGGUCUUUGUACAAAGGGAGGUUUGUACUGUCAUUGAGCCAAAAGGAUUUAGCAUUUCUGUGUGACUCAUUACGCUGGUGGGAAAGAUAGAAUUCUUAAAAAAAAAAAAACAAGGAUAGAUUAUGUUACCGAUGGUUAGAUUUGAUACUGUUACGUGUUCAUUCCUGUCCUCAAAGAAUCACAAUGUUCAAAACGUUUUUAUUAAACUUGGAGAGUUUAAAAUCCUGGGUUUUAGAGAUGUAAUACUGAGAUUUGUAAUACUUAGUAGGGGUGUCAAUAUAUUGUUAUUGCAAUGUUUUGUCGACCUUCUACGUGCGAUACGAGAAUCGAUACGCUGCGCCAAAUAUCAAUAUUUUAAUGAAUAAAACAAAAAUGAGGUUUAACGUGAACAGUCUGAGAAAGAGUUUAGCAUUGCAUGUGAAAUAAAUUAUACUCCAUGCAUAUUUGUGAAUGAUCGUUAAUGUGCUUAAAGUUGCUGCACUGAAAUGUUUUUUAGGUUUAUUUUAUUUAAGCUGGUUAACACUAAGAUGUCCCCAGGUUUAAAUAAGGGGCCGUUACAUUUAGAAAUGUGCCAGUAUAAAAUUUAUUAUGUGUUAAAUGUGUCCGACUACAACAAUAAGCUUUUAAUUUGAGCAUAACAUGUUUAAUUUAUUUGAAAUGUUACUCAUGUUGGUAAUAUGUUAUUAAUUUACCUACUGAAAAAUGUAUUGUGGACCUGAAUAAAAGGACAAAUUUUGCACUUAACCUUUUCACUGGCAUCUUGUUUUCGAUAUCGUGAUGUAUCGUUAUAGAAUUGCCAAACAAUAAAUCGAUUAUUGUAGUAUCAUUGCAUCAUGAUAUAAAAGGCACCGUGAGCAAUCUAUCGUGAGGUAUGCUGUGAUUCCCACCGUUAAUACUUACAUUUGUGAAGGGGUAAGAGACACGGCAGACACAGAGCAACGGUGCAAGCAGCCCCAGUGGGGAAUUUAAUAAACAACAUAAAAUAUAUGGUCCCAAAAGGUAAACUUCGGGGUGCUCUUAAAUAAUAAUUUGCCAGUCCAUGAAUGAAGGUCCUUGUCUCUGCUUCACUCUCUGUCCUUCUGUCUUCCACUCUGGGGCGAAUGGGAACAGCGGUUGUUGUCUCUCGACCCAGGACCUUGAGUGUUCUGUGCACGCGGCCUUUAUGCCCAGCAGCUAAUCCAGCGCACGUGUAGCGCAAUCAGCGCUAGCUGCCGGGCUGUUGCCCAGGUGAUGCUGAUCCCAGGUCAGCUCCACGUCAUGCAUUCAAAAACACAUUCAAAACCACAGGAAAAGCUAUAAUUUUUGCAACAAUAAAGUCUUUAUUGUUUAGAUAAAUAUUUUUUAUUUUAGCCGUUUAUUACUUUGAGUAGUUCUGUGACGUUCAUUAGUCAUCAUUAUGACAGAUAUGUAAAACUUCUGUUUCAUCUUAUGUGCUUAUUUAAACCAUUAUCAUGUUCUUUCAUCUCUGUCCACAUGUUUCUGGGUUGUUACAGACAGAUCCCACUGAAAAUAAGAUGGAUUUUGAAGAUUGUUAUUUUUGGUAACUGUUCUCUAAUAAGUUUGGAAUUUCAAAUCACGAGCCGAGAAAUUAGAAAAGUUCAAGGAAAUGAUUGUGAACCUUCUUCCUGAAGUGGAUUUGAGAGGCAUGUUUAUAUUCAUAUUUAUUGAAUCAUUUAUAAGAACAAAUACUUAGAAAGAAACCAAAUACCUUGAAAGACAUUAUCAAAUCACACUACAUAAAAGAUGACUGUAUCUUUGUACGGUUACGUAAAGAUGGAAUUAAAUUACUGCGUAAAACUUUUCGUGAAACUUUUCUGUGGCUCAGUGGUUAGAGCAGGUCAUGGGUUGAUCCCAGGGGAUUGCACAUACUAGCAAACAAUGUAUAGUAUAAUGCAAUGUAAGCUUUGGAUAAAAAUGUAAAUGGAAACAAAUUGGUUAGAAAAAUUAAUGCUAUCACGAGUGUUCAAUCCUGGCAUAGACAUCUGCUUAUAAUGGUGUUGCUCUUCUAAUGUGGUACAGGACACACAACUUUAUUGAGAUGAAGUGUGCAACCAUGAGUGUGUAUAUUCUAAAACUUGAGAUCAUUCAUGUUUAUAGUCACUGUAUGAAUAACCAUUUACAUACUGUAGUUUUCAAUUUUAUUUAGCUUUCUUCAAAUCCCUCACUAUGAGCAAUUAUAUUAGUGAGGCUGUGGUUAUGAACACUGUUUAUUUGUCUUUUUGGUUAAAGAUCAAUAGUGGUUAAAGACUAGACAAGAUUUUUGACAAAGCUAGAACAUGCACACUGCCGAGCAGCAGGAGGCACUUGUAGGAGUGCAUGUGGAUGGAGGUAACACCAGGGUUUAUCCACAUCAAUCACAGCAGUCUGCAUGACUCAGGCCAGUGGCCGGAGGUCAUUGGUUUUAGGCCAUCUGUUCUGUGGCCAGCUGUUUGUUGACCAAAAACCUUAUGUAACAGCUUGGCGAAUGAAUAAAAGGCAUCUCUCAAGACUCUAGACUUGUUUACAUGUGAGGAAAGACUCACCCAUGACUCUGAUUUGAAGUAGAUGCAUCAUCAUUUACUUGUUGUGUUAAGGGUGUCUGAAAAAACAGGGCUUCCGAUUAAUUCCCGUGGGGCCUUUUUUGGUAAACAAAACCCACUUUGCUACUUUAAGUUAACUGUUCAUCAUAUAGAAAAUGUUUUAAGGUAUGAGGCAGUUUAUGGAUUUCAUUGGAAAUCGCUAGCUUGUACAGGAAAUAUAAUGCCGUCUUAGUUUUUCCACUGUGUAGGCUACAGGAAGAAGUUUUCUUUGGAAUGGUCAGAUCGGAAUGCUGUUUUUUUGUUGUUGUUCGGGAUUCAACAUGUAUUUGACUUUAUGGCAUCGCAGUAAGUAAAACGUGUUGCUAAGAGAAGGAUUGUAAGACGUUGAUAGUCACUAAAACUUUUUUUGUGGUUUGCACCAAACUGACUUAUUACUUUUUAACUUUUAUGGUUUCAUUAACAAGAAAUGCCGGUUGACACCUGCUCAUCUAAACGUUAUCUCUCUUACUUUUUACUAGCUGUUUGAGUUCAGGAUAGAAGCAAUAAGCAAGCAAUGGCAUUUCUUCAUACUGUUCACAUUGUCGCUCCAAGGUUGCUUUCCAACAUCAGAAUAUAAACCAAAGUUGAUAUGCCUGAACGUAUACAUGCAUAUAACAGAAGGCAGGCAUUCUAAAGUUUUUUUAUUUGAACAAGCUACACCGAGGAAAAGCUUUAAAUUAAGUAGAUUGUGAAAUUAAGGAGAUUUUACACAGGUUGUGAGACACCUGUGUUCUGCCUAAAUGUCACAGUUUGCGUGUUCAUGUUUGCUUGACGUCUGUGGUCCGGAACCUGUUUCCUUGUAAGGAUAUGCAGGUACCUGUUUGUAUAAGAAAGUCAUGUGUCCAAGAGAAGGAAAUGUAGAGCAUGAGUCCUUUGAAAUGUUUUAUUGGCCAAAAUUCAAUUGUAGACUGACGAUCAUGUUCUGGAGUUUCUCAUUGACUUCUCAGAAUGAUAAAAUCAUAACUUGUAAACAGAACCGUAACUGUUCUUAGAAAAACACACUUUUAUCAAUGGCGUAUUUGUGUCAAAUUUAUUUCUGUACCUGUGACUUGCAUUGAUAGAAUUAGGUCUGCUAUCACGAUUUUGCAAGCACUUUACAUUUGUAUUGAAAAAGUUAUUGUUUUAUAAAGGUGUCUAAGAUCACAUCCAUCAUGAGACGUGUAGUUUUGUUUCAUAUCUUUUAAGUGUACAAGUCUAAAAACGGUAUAAUUUAAAUGCAUUUAAGAAUAGCAUGGAAGUCUUUUGUAGUUUAAAAUUGUAAAAAAUGAGCUCAAGUAAUUUUACAAGUUUGUAGUAAAUGAGCAAUUACAAGCAAUAUCAGAGUUGAGCUUCAGUUUUCUCAACUUUUACGGUGGUGUCCCAGACAGAGCCAAGCGUGUUCCUCGUGUACAGCGUGCUGAAUUCAGACCCCGCCCCCUCGGUUGCCACACCCCCUGCUCGAGCACACAUUCCAUAAAUCCUGCAGAGCGCCUGUUCCACGAUACAAACACAGAGAGAGACAGGACUGAAUCUGACACUAAAACCCUUGAACAACAUGCGCUCAAAAAUGAGCUAUUGCCUGCCCUACUCGCCAGGAUCAUCUCCUACAUGUUCUACAAGAUUAAUAGCGUCCAAACGAUGCAGUGCCUCUGGCGCCAGUGUUGUUGCCAUUGAUAACAAGAUAGAGCAAGCUAUGGAUCUUGUGAAAAGCCAUUUAAUGUACGCUGUGCGCGAGGAGGUGGAGGUCUUGAAGGAACAGAUCAAGGAGCUGUAUGAAAGGAA